GACGAACGCUGGCGGCGUGCUUAACACAUGCAAGUCGAACGGUAAGGCCCUUCGGGGUACACGAGUGGCGAACGGGUGAGUAACACGUGGGUGAUCUGCCCUGCACUUCGGGAUAAGCCUGGGAAACUGCGUCUAAUACCGGUCAGGACUCCUGUCUGCUUGGGUGGUGGGGGAAUGUUUUUGCGGUGUUGGAUGGGCCCGGGGCCUAUCUGCUUGUUGGUGGGGGGAUGGGCUACCAAGGCGACGACGGGUAGCCGGCCUGAGAGGGUGACCGGCCACACUGGGACUGAGAUACGGCCCUGACUCCUACGGGAGGCAGCAGUGGGGGAUAUUGCACAAUGGGCGCAAGCCUGAUGCAGCGACGCCGCGUGAGGGAUGACGGCCUUCGGGUUGUAAACCUCUUUCAGCACCGACGAAGCGCAAGUGACGGUAGGUGCAGAAGAAGGACCGGCCAACUACGUGCCAGCAGCCGCAGUAA
rnacentral:rRNA from 1 species